UAGUAGGAAAAACUUUUGUAAAAAAGUCAGAGAAUCUUUUUGAGGAUCACUUAAAAUAUUAAUUUCUUAAGUAUUACUUUUAAACUUUUUUUUUUUUUUUCCCCAGAGCACUGCAAGAUCUCUUUUCCCCUCUUGUUUUGGGUUCUGUGCCUUAGACCACAGAGGCACAUCCUGCCCUCAGGGAGGUCAGAGGUUUGAAGUAUGAAGAGAUUUAACACGUUCCUCCAGUCUCCUGGGAUGCAAUAAAGCAGUGACCUUCUAUCA
rnacentral:lncRNA from 1 species